AACCGUAUAAGAAACCGAUAAAUUCAUUAUCUUGUUAUAUCCUCUUGAUGAAUUGAUUAUGAUCCUUAGUCCAAAAAGAUGAAAAUUAGGUCAAGGUCAAAGGUCAAGGUCAUAUUCUUAAUUUUGAGUUUGGCUUAUUUUCACUCAUUUUCAUUAACAUUAUAAGAUAUUGACAGAUUAUUUUUACUAACAUUGUUAGUUGUGACAUGUCGUAAUUUAUACAUUUUGGUUGAAAGGGUGCGUAGACAAUACAUGGGCAUUUUGCCCCUCUUAUAUUGAGAAUUAUGCGUAAAGUGAAAUUACUAAUUAACCAUACAUAUUAAGGAACUAGUGUCUUUUGAUUUGAGAUCCUUAGUUUAUGACCUUGAAAUUAAGGUCAAGGUCAUAUGUUAAUUGGACGUUCUAGAUUUUUACCUUUGCUCCAAAUUCAUAUGUAGACAUCAGUAAGCCAUAAGAACUGACAUACGAACUGAAUUUUUAAUAUUUCCACAUCAAAAUAUAUUGUUAGUGGUG
rnacentral:lncRNA from 1 species